rnacentral:rRNA from 1 species
UGGGGAAUAUUGCACAAUGGGGGAAACCCUGAUGCAGCAACGCCGCGUGCGGGAUGACGGCCUUAGGGUUGUAAACCGCUUUCAGCCAUGACGAAGCUUUUGUGACGGUAGUGGCAGAAGAAGCACCGGCUAACUACGUGCCAGCAGCCGCGGUGAUACGUAGGGUGCGAGCGUUGUCCGGAAUUAUUGGGCGUAAAGAGCUUGUAGGCGGUUUGUCGCGUCGAAAGUGUAAACUCAGUGCUUAACGCUGAGCCUGCUUUCGAUACGGGCUGACUAGAGGAAGGUAGGGGAGAAUGGAAUUCCCGGUGGAGCGGUGGAAUGCGCAGAUAUCGGGAGGAACACCAGUGGCGAAGGCGGUUCUCUGGACCUUUCCUGACGCUGAGAAGCGAAAGCGUGGGUAGCAAACAGG